UGGGGAAUUUUGGACAAUGGGCGAAAGCCUGAUCCAGCAAUGCCGCGUGUGUGAAGAAGGCCUUCGGGUUGUAAAGCACUUUUCCUGGGGAAGAAAUCGCUAGGGUGAACAAUCUUAGCGGAUGACGGUACCUGGGGAAUAAGCACCGGCUAACUCCGUGCCAGCAGCCGCGGUAAUACGGAGGGGGCGAGCGUUAAUCGGAAUUACUGGGCGUAAAGGGUGCGUAGGUGGCCUGCUGAGUCCGAUGGG
rnacentral:rRNA from 1 species